GAUGAACGCUGGCGGCGUGCCUAAUACAUGCAAGUCGAGUGAACGGACGAUAAGCUUGCUUCUCUGAUGUUAGCGGCGGACGGGUGAGUAACACGUGGAUAACCUAUCUAUAAGACUGGGAUAACUGCGGGAAACCGUAGCUAAUACCGGAUAAUAUUUUGAACCGCAUGGUUCAAAAGUGAAAGACGGUCUUGCUGUCACUUAUAGAUGGAUCCGCGCCGGAUUAGCUAGUUGGUAAGGUAACGGCUCACCAAGGCAACGAUGCAUAGCCGAGCUGAGAGGAUGAUCAGCCACACUGGAACGGAGACACGGUCCAGAGUCGUACGGGAGGCAGCAGUAAGGAAGAUUGCUAAAGGGGAGAAAUCCUGAAGCAGCAACGCCGCGUGAGGGACGAAGGGCUUUUGCUUGUAAACAUCUGGAGUGAGAGAAAAAAAUACCAAUCUUUGGGACAUGAUGGUAGCUCAAAAGUAAGCCCCGGCUAACUACGUG
rnacentral:rRNA from 1 species